UACGUAGGGGGCAAGCGUUGUCCGGAAUCAUUGGGCGUAAAGAGCGUGUAGGCGGCCCGGUAAGUCCGCUGUGAAAGUCCAGGGCUCAACCCUGGGAUGCCGGUGGAUACUGUCGGGCUCGAGUCCGGAAGAGGAGUGUGGAAUUCCUGGUGUAGCGGUGAAAUGCGCAGAUAUCAGGAGGAACACCAAUUGCGAAGGCAGCUCGCUGGGACGUCACUGACGCUGAGACGCGAAAGCGUGGGGAGCAAACAGG
rnacentral:rRNA from 1 species